rnacentral:rRNA from 1 species
UACGUAGGGGGCAAGCGUUGUCCGGAUUUAUUGGGCGUAAAGAGCGUGUAGGCGGCUUGGAAGGUCAGCUGUGAAAACUCGAGGCUCAACCUCGAGACGUCGGUUGAAACCACCUGGCUAGAGUCCGGAAGAGGAGAGUGGAAUUCCCGGUGUAGCGGUGAAAUGCGCAGAUAUCAGGAAGAACACCCGUGGCUAAGGCGGCUCUCUAGUACGGUACUGACGCUGAGACGCGAAAGCGUGGGGAGCGAACAGG